rnacentral:tRNA from 1 species
GUAGCACCAUGGUUUGAGCAUUAGUCUCUGAUUCUAGAAGACCAAGGUUCAAAUCCUUGC